AAAAGCAGACCUGGGCCAUAGAAGAGAUGGGCUUGAUUCAGCAGAACUCUUCUUGGGCUUCCAAAAGGUUGGGUAAUGGGCUGUAGGGAGAGCCUAAGUGAAAAGGGCUAGGCCCAAAGUGAGAGACAUGAAGCUGAAUUAGGUCUAGCCGCCUAUUGCUUCUUCUCUUCAUCACCAUCGACAGCAGAUCGGACUUGGGGUUUUUGGCUACCAAUUUGCUUGCUUCAGGGACCGGAUCUAACCAAUCAAAUGCUGGAGAUGAGGUGCGAUCUACAGAAGUUGGAUUCUCCAUGGUUGGGUGCUUCACUAGCGUCGGCGCCAAAGCAGAGCUCCGAUCCAAAGGGGAGCAGGGAGAUGCUGAACUUGGCUUCAAGGAGAGCAGAUGAAGCGGGUAAACCACGAGGAUUGCGGGAAGGUUGAGGGAAGAACUAGCACCAGAGAGCAAGUUCGAAAGUAGGGUGGUCGUGAUAAUUUUUGGAUUUAAGGGGAGGAAAGAGGUUUGAAACAGGAGGAAACCAGACAAUAAGGAACUCCAAAUGAUAAAACCUUUGAGAAGAGAUCGCCGUGAGGGAGAGAGCUCUGGACACCGGCGAUCAACGGCUCUACCGGUGCCGGAAAAAUUUAUGGUAGAGUUGGCCUCGAUAAUUGUGUCUGAGAGAGUCUCUGUCUUGUAUGGAUUUUCUCUUUUU